AGGGCACCACCAGGAGUGGAGCCUGCGGCUUAAUUUGACUCAACACGGGGAAACUUACCCGGCCUGGACACUGGAAGGAUUGACAGAUUGAGAGCUCUUUCUUGAUUCAGUGGGUGGUGGUGCAUGGCCGUUCUUAGUUGGUGGAGCGAUUUGUCUGGUUAAUUCCGAUAACGAACGAGACUCUAGCCUAUUAAAUAGGCUCUCGGCUUUUAAACGCCGGGAGGACUUCUUAGAGGGACAGGUGGCGGUUCAGCCGCACGAAAGAGAGCAAUAACAGGUCUGUGAUGCCCUUUGUUGUCCGGGGCCGCACGCGCGCUACACUGAGGAGAUCAGCGUGCUUUACGUUCCUGCUCCGACCGGAGUGGGGAACCCAGUGAACCUUCUUCGUGAUUGGGAUAGAAGAUUGUAAUUAUUCUUCUUGAACGAGGAAUUCCCAGUAAAUGCGAGUCAUAAGCUCGCGUUGAUUACGUCCCUGCCCUUUGUACACACCGCCCGUCGCUACUACCGAUUGAACGAUUU
rnacentral:rRNA from 1 species